AGUGCAUCAGAAGGGACAGUACACACCAUCUUUCAUUCCCACCAUUCUUUGUGAAGAGGAAUCCAAAUGUUCUUUGGCCUGAUCGAGUUCUUAUGGGUGCCUUGAGCCAUCCUAGGAGGCAUCCCAAGUAACAACAUUAAGAACGUAUAAAUGUUUGAACUGUGCAGACUUCUUGUUGUGAGAAAAAAAGCCUGCAGCCAAUGAGAUAGAAAUGGAGAGAAGGGCAAUAGCAGCUUGCACACGUCAAGGAUCUGCAGCGCAUGAAACCCCUUAAACUGAAGAUGAUGAUACAGACUCAGUUAAAACAGAUAUGGGUGCAAGUCAUGACACUUUUACAGAUUAAAGAUGUCCGAGAUUCACGAUGAAUGCUGUUUGAAGAAGAAUGAACAGAAUCACAUUUUAAUUUAAUCUCACUGCCAAUGUGGACUUAAAGAGGACGGGCUCUGUUAUGACAACUGUAUUUUUAAGUAACAGAGAUAAGGGUGUUAUUGGAAUCAUUUCAAUAAAAUAUGGGAGUACCGGUACAUACCAGUUUGAUAUCUUGAUUAGACUGGGACUUAAACUUAAACAAAAACGAUAGAUAUUGGACCUCUCUAAUACACAUUAUAAACAUCUCAUGUCUUAAGUCAAUAACAAAGCUGUAAUAAGGCGAUAUUUAGUGUAAUUAACACUUAGGGCUAUUCUCCUAAAACAUAUAACCACCGGGUUUGGCAGAUUUUUAAUAAUAUAUGGUUGGGCUUUUUUGCUAAUUUGCACCCCAAAAGGCACAUUUGCUUUUGUAUGGGGUUGGCAUAAAAACUUAAUAAAUGCCUUCCCUCCAGUGGUUAUAUUUUUAAAUGGACAAAAUAUCAAACUGGUAUGUACCUUAUCAACAUUUUUAGCUGGACUAUUUGAAUAAUAAGGAGGGUUAUACCACUCGCCUCAGCAUCUGCUUUGGCUUUAGCGUCCGGUUAAAGUUUAAGACCAAGUUGGGAUUUUCACUCAUAACUGCAAAACCCUUCAUUAAAGUCACUUAAUACUCCAUACAGUUGUUCAGGGUCAUUACAUAAUGAGGUUAAUACUUCAAUAGCCUUCAUUCAAUGGACUUAAUACCUUGCACAAUUAAUGAUGAACAUCUUACAAUAAGGUGACAUAACUCCAUUUUAACUAAAUACAAAUUAUUGCCCUUUUUUCAUUUUUAUUUCUUAUGUCAGGCACAUUUAUAUAUUCUUAACAGGGUUUUUGAAAGCUAAUUGUUUGGGCGGGCUGGUGGAAGGGUCUUCAAAGUCACCUUAUGUGUAAAAUAAUUUUAGCUAGGUUUGACAUAUAGUGACCAAACUUCGUAUGUAGGAAGCCUUUAUGAAGACCUUUCAUGAGAUUGCGUUUUAGGCUUCUGGGAUCAAUAUAAAGGUCAAAGUUACUAUUAAAAGCAAAAGAACUGGUAUUGAUUAACUUAAAGGUCGACAUAUUGUGACCAAACUUGGUUUAUAUGAAAGUUCAUACAGACUUUUUAUGCCCCCGAAGGUGGGCAUAUUAAAAUUGCACCGUCCGUCCGUCCGGCUCUGUAACUUUCCCUUGUAUGGACAGAUUUUAAAAUAACUUGCCAAAUGUGUUCCACAUACCAAGACGACGUGUGGCGUGCAAGACCCGUGUCCCUACCUCAAAGGUCAAGGUCACACUUAGUGUUUAUUCACAAUGGAGUGCUGCAUAUAAGGACAUAGAGUAUAGGUUGUCGUGUCCGGGCUGUAACUUUCUCUUGUAUGGACAGAUUUUAAAAUAACUUGCCACAUGUGUACCACAUACCAAGACGACGUGUCGCGUGCAAAACCCGUGUCCCUACCUCAAAGGACAAGGUCACACUUAGUGUUUAUUCACCAUAGAGUGCUGCAUAUAAGCAUAGAGUAUAGGUUGUCGUGUCCGGGCUGUAACUUUCCCUUGUAAAGACAGAUUUUAAAAUAACUUGCUACAUGUGUUCCACAUACGAAGACGACGUGUCCUGUGCAAGACCCAUGUCCCUACCUCUAAGGUGAAAGAUACACUAAGUGUUUAUUCACAAGGGAAUUCUGAAUAUAAGGACAUAACAGUGUAGGUUGUCAAGUAUGGGUGGUAUUUUUUUAUGUUCAGAGGAAAUUUAAAAUAACUUGCCAUAUGUAUUUGACACAUAAAGGCAAGAUCAACUUUUCAUGUACUGGCCUUGUUCGUAGGUCAAUGUCACAUUCGGGGGCAUUCGUCACAUACUGUGACAGCUCUUGUUUAUUGUGUUUUGGGUUAUGAUCUAGGUCAAAGUCAGUAUUGCUGAAAAGUACAAUUAUAGUUUGUACUGAAUAAGUAAGGGGUGACAAUGUGUGACCAAACUUGGUAUAUAUGACAAGUUAAUGGAGAGCUUUCAUUCGAAUGCCUUGGGCCCCUUAGGGUCAAUGUCACUGUUACUAAAAAAAUAUUACUUUUUGGUACUGAAUACCAUAAGUUAUGGUUGAUAUACUGUGACCAAACUUGAUAUAUAGGAAGAGUUUAUUGAGAACUUUCAUGAGAUUGUGUUUUGGGCGCAUAGGAUCUAGGUCACUGUUAUAAAAAUAGAAGACAGCAGUUGAAACUGAACUUCUUCUGCCAAUCCUUAACAAAACAAUUAUUGUCACAUCACGAUUCUUGUUUACUUUUUAAAUUGAUUUUUCUAUUGCUUUUGACAAGCACAUAUUACAUCAUAAUGUAAGAAGAUACAUUGUUAAAAAAAAAACAGAAAAUGUUAAUUUGAAUAAGAGUGUCACUUCUUUUAAAUUUGUAGCUGUUUACUUACCAUGAAUUUAUCUUUAAAUACAACUUGUACUUUUUAUGUGUAGGGUACGAGUUGGACCAUAUUGAGAGAUUGUUUUAAAUAGCAUAUGCUAAAACAUACUGUGACUGUUGUUGCUGCCUUUUAAUUUUAUGAAAAGUAUUGCUUUAUUAUUUUUUUAAA